rnacentral:lncRNA from 1 species
GAAAAAUCGACUAUGGGGGCGUGUGAUCCAACACUGUGAAGGAAGGGAAGACGGAUUGCAGCAUGCAAGCCAGUGUGAACCACAGCUGGACCAUCUUCUUAAAGACUAUUUAGAAAAACAAGCAGAAGAAAAACAGAAAAAAAAGGAGAAAGAGAAAUCAAAGGAUAAAUCUCAUUAACAACGACAACAAAUCUGGGCAAGGGUGUUUCUAUUGUAAAUUCAGAAUCUUUUUGUACUUAUUCUUAAUGUUUUUCUUUACUCUAAAGUCCCUGAUACAAACAAGUUUCAUUACUUAAAAUAAUGUACUGAAUAAGUGCAUGCGAAAAUGUGCUCUUUAAGGUGUGCUAUACAUUAAGAUAGGCAAUUGCAGAUGCUUGUGUGACAGGCAGAUAUUUUGCUUGUGAAAGUAACAAGUUUUACAAGAGGCUGGAAACCAUUCCUGAGAUUAUCUGUAUGCAUAAAAAACACACAACUGAGUAAAAAACAAAAAAACAUAAAAAACCCAAAAGUCUGCGUGCUGAGCACAGCUCCCACAGUGGAUUCUUCUGACAGACUGGAACCCGUGCAUCGCCCCACCAUUUUACAGCUAAAACUACUGAUAAUAAAAAGCUAAAUAAAGAAGCACGAGAGGAAAGGUGGACACAGCACUGUCCUUUGCACUGCUGCUCGGUAAGUCAGGUUUCUUCACAUCUCCUUGGACAGAACUUACUAGUAUAUAUGUAGUAGAAUAAAUGGAUAAAGUCCUUUUUAUUCUAAAGCUAACAUGUUCUUAUAGAAAAAUAUACAAAAUACAGAUUAUAUAAAAGAAACCAAAGUUACUUAGAAAUCCACUAUUCAGAUAAUCAUUAACAUAUUCAGUCUUUUUCUGUAUAUUCUCUCUAUAAAUAUAUACAUGUAAGUUUUGAACCACUUGAGUCUACACGAUUCUUAGGUAUUGUUAAUAAAGGAAUAUAUUCAUAUCCAGGUAGAAAAAAAUGUCAGUCUUAAUCCUAAUUGGUAUUAUUUUUAGCAAGGAAAACAUUUAGGGACAACCCAAGUCAUUUAGUAUUUAUUCUGAGAAUCAUUUUAGAAAUUAUUUUAAGAGUACUGAAAAUUGUGUCCCCAGAUUUCCUUGUAAUAAAAACUUCCCAGUCUAGGGCUGGCAGGAUGGCGAGGUAAGCAGAAGCACUUUGCUGCCAAGCCUGACAACCUGAGUUCAGCCCUGGAUCCCCCACAUGGUACAUAGCAGGGCAAGCUGAUCCCUGCAGGUUAUCCUCAGACUCCACACAUGCAGUGGCUCACAGCGCCCAUCCUUCACAAUAUGCUAAAUUAGUAUAGUUUUAAAAUGGUUAUUUAUGGUUAUUUAUUUAUAGUUAUAACGGUUAUUUACUUAUUAAAAAAUGAUAACUGUCUCUGG